UAUUAGCUCAGCUGGUAAGAGCACCCCUGAUAAGGGUGAGGACCCUGGUUCGAAUCCAGG
rnacentral:ncRNA from 13 species